rnacentral:rRNA from 1 species
GACGAACGCUGGCGGCGUGCUUAACACAUGCAAGUCGAACGGAAAGGCCCUGCUUUUGUGGGGUGCUCGAGUGGCGAACGGGUGAGUAACACGUGAGUAACCUGCCCUUGACUUUGGGAUAACUUCAGGAAACUGGGGCUAAUACCGGAUAGGAGCUCCUGCUGCAUGGUGGGUGUUGGAAAGUUUCGGCGGUUGGGGAUGGACUCGCGGCCUAUCAGCUUGUUGGUGGGGUAGUGGCUUACCAAGGCUUUGACGGGUAGCCGGCCUGAGAGGGUGACCGGCCACACUGGGACUGAGAUACGGCCCAGACUCCUACGGGAGGCAGCAGUGGGGAAUAGUGCACAAUGGGCGGAAGCCUGAUGCAGCAACGCCGCGUGCGGGAUGACGGCCUUCGGGUUGUAAACCGCUUUCGCCUGUGACGAAGCGUAAGUGACGGUAAUGGGUAAAGAAGCAACGGCUAACUACGUG